GCCCAUUAGUGUCAUUCUAGAACUCUCCUCACGUCUCAAACAUCUGUAGAUUUUCAUUUCCACCUCUAUCCAUUUUUCGCCUCUCUCUUUCUUUGUCGUCUUUUCUGCCUUCAUCCUUCUCCUAUUCAUGUAUUUAUUAAACACCAACCCUAAAAGUCCCAAAUUCACAGUAGCACAAACCCUAACAUUUUAUUGUCAGCAAUGGCUUUGAAGUGUAGGCAAUCAUCAACAAAGUUACCAAGAUGAAACUGACCCGGAAAAAUCCGUGUCUCCAACAUGAAGGAUCUUCUUUUGGAUAAACAAUUUGUGGUAGAAAGCUUGAAAAAGAGAUUGGAAGAGAAAGUGGAAGAUAAUCAGAAGCUCUGUAUACAAGUGAAAGAAAAGCCACUCAAGAGUUUAAAACGUAGUUUAAUGACCGGGAGAGGUAGGUGAGAACCUCUCUAGUGGUGUCAGAAGCCAUGGUAGUGUGGUUGAUAGAGAUAAGAUUAGUAGACCGUAUUAGAUUUCUUUGCUUUACAUAACAUUUUGUUAAAGUUAAGUUGUACAUGCCAAAAGAUUUGUGUCAAGAUUGACUUGCUCGAUUGAAUUGUUUUUGUCUUUUUAUAUUUAAAAAUUCUUAUUCCAAAUCUUUUGUGGUUGCAAGAAAAAUCAUAGGGGCACAUAAAUGUUGCAUUGUAAACAAUGAAUUUCGA
rnacentral:lncRNA from 1 species